rnacentral:rRNA from 1 species
UGGGGGAUAUUGCACAAUGGAGGAAACUCUGAUGCAGCAACGCCGCGUGAGGGAAGACGGUUUUCGGAUUGUAAACCUCUGUCCUUGGUGAAGAUAAUGACGGUAGCCAAGGAGGAAGCUCCGGCUAACUACGUGCCAGCAGCCGCGGUAAUACGUAGGGAGCAAGCGUUGUCCGGAUUUACUGGGUGUAAAGGGUGCGUAGGCGGCUUAUCAAGUCAGGCGUGAAAUAUAUGGGCUUAACCCAUAGACUGCGUUUGAAACUGAUGAGCUUGAGUGAAGUAGAGGUAGGCGGAAUUCCCGGUGUAGCGGUGAAAUGCGUAGAGAUCGGGAGGAACACCAGUGGCGAAGGCGGCCUACUGGGCUUUAACUGACGCUGAGGCACGAAAGCAUGGGUAGCAAACA